rnacentral:rRNA from 1 species
UACGUAGGUGGCGAGCGUUGUCCCGGAUUUACUGGGCGUAAAGAGCGCGCAGGCGGCUGGUCAAGUCCGAUGUGAAAGCUCCCGGCUUAACUGGGAAAUUGCAUCGGAAACUGAUCGGCUGGAAGGUGGGAGAGGGUAGCGGAAUUCCCGGCGUAGCGGUGAAAUGCGUAGAUAUCUGGAGGAACACCGGUGGCGAAGGCGGCAUCCUGGACCGGCAUUGACGCUGAGGUGCGAAAGCGUGGGGAGCAAACAGG